UUUAACUGAAGAGUUUGAUCAUGGCUCAGAUUGAACGCUGGCGGCAGGCUUAACACAUGCAAGUCGAGCGGGGGAAGGUAGCUUGCUACUGGACCUAGCGGCGGACGGGUGAGUAAUGCUUAGGAAUCUGCCUAUUAGUGGGGGACAACAUCUCGAAAGGGAUGCUAAUACCGCAUACGUCCUACGGGAGAAAGCAGGGGAUCUUCGGACCUUGCGCUAAUAGAUGAGCCUAAGUCGGAUUAGCUAGUUGGUGGGGUAAAGGCCUACCAAGGCGACGAUCUGUAGCGGGU
rnacentral:rRNA from 1 species